rnacentral:rRNA from 1 species
CCAGCCAAGUCGCGUGAGGGAAGACGGUCCUAUGGAUUGUAAACCNCUUUUGCAGGGGAGCAAGGCACGGUACGUGUACCGUGAAGGAGAGUACCCUGAGAAAAAGCAUCGGCUAACUCCGUGCC